rnacentral:rRNA from 1 species
UACGUAGGGUGCGAGCGUUGCCCGGAUUUUACUGGGCGUAAAGGGCGCGUAGGCGGCGUGUUAAGUCAGCUGUGAAAUCUCCAGCUUAACUUGGAACGGUCAGCUGAUACUGAUGUGCUAGAGUGCAGAAGGGGCAAUCGGAAUUCUUGGUGUAGCGGUGAAAUGCGUAGAUAUCAAGAGGAACACCUGAGGUGAAGACGGGUUGCUGGGCUGACACUGACGCUGAGGCGCGAAGGUCAGGGGAGCAAACGGG